GAUGAACGCUGGCGGCGUGCCUAAUACAUGCAAGUCGAGCGAACGGACGAGAAGCUUGCUUCUCUGAUGUUAGCGGCGGACGGGUGAGUAACACGUGGAUAACCUACCUAUAAGACUGGGAUAACUUCGGGAAACCGGAGCUAAUACCGGAUAAUAUUUAGAACCGCAUGGUUCAAAAGUGAAAGACGGUCUUGCUGUCACUUAUAGAUGGAUCCGCGCUGCAUUAGCUAGUUGGUAAGGUAACGGCUUACCAAGGCAACGAUGCAUAGCCGACCUGAGAGGGUGAUCGGCCACACUGGAACUGAGACACGGUCCAGACUCCUACGGGAGGCAGCAGUAGGGAAUCUUCCGCAAAGGGCGAAAGCCUGACGGAGCAACGCCGCGUGAGUGAUGAAGGUCUUCGGAUCGUAAAACUCUGUUAUUAGGGAAGAACAUAUGUGUAAGUAACUGUGCACAUCUUGACGGUACCUAAUCAGAAAGCCACGGCUAACUACGUG
rnacentral:rRNA from 1 species